UUCGGGGGCCUACGGGAGGCAGCAGUGAGGAAUCUUGCGCAAUGGGCGAAAGCCUGACGCAGCGACGCCGCGUGGACGAUGAAGGCCUUCGGGUCGUAAAGUCCUGUCGGGUGGGAAGAACGGGUUCGGGGCUAAUAUCCCCGGUCCCUGACUGUACCACCAGAGGAAGCCCCGGCUAACUCCGUGCCAGCAGCCGCGGUAAU
rnacentral:rRNA from 1 species